GACGAACGCUGGCGGCGUGCUUAACACAUGCAAGUCGAACGGAAAGGCCCUGCUUUUGUGGGGUGCUCGAGUGGCGAACGGGUGAGUAACACGUGAGUAACCUGCCCUUGACUUUGGGAUAACUUCAGGAAACUGGGGCUAAUACCGGAUAGGAGCUCCUGCUGCAUGGUGGGGGUUGGAAAGUUUCGGCGGUUGGGGAUGGACUCGCGGCUUAUCAGCUUGUUGGUGGGGUAGUGGCUUACCAAGGCUUUGACGGGUAGCCGGCCUGAGAGGGUGACCGGCCACAUUGGGACUGAGAUACGGCCCAGACUCCUACGGGAGGCAGCAGUGGGGAAUAUUGCACAAUGGGCGGAAGCCUGAUGCAGCAACGCCGCGUGCGGGAUGACGGCCUUCGGGUUGUAAACCGCUUUCGCCUGUGACGAAGCGUGGGUGACGGUAAUGAGUAAAGAAGCACCGGCUAACUACGUG
rnacentral:rRNA from 1 species